GAUGAGAACGUAGCGAAAUGCGAUAAGUAAUGUGAAUUGCAGAAUUCAGUGAAUCAUCGAAUCUUUGAACGCACAUUGCGCCCGCCAGUAUUCUGGCGGGCAUGCCUGUUCGAGCGUCAUUUCAACCCUCAAGCACAGCUUGGUGUUGGGACUCGCGUUAAUUCGCGUUCCCCAAAUUGAUUGGCGGUCACGUCGAGCUUCCAUAGCGUAGUAGUAAAACCCUCGUUACUGGUAAUCGUCGCGGCCACGCCGUUAAACCCCAACUUCUGAAUGUUGACCUCGGAUCAGGUAGGAAUACCCGCUGAACUUAAGCAUAUCAAUAAGCGGAGGA
rnacentral:misc_RNA from 1 species